UUACUACUACUUUACUAGAUUUAAUGGAUAGAGAUGUGCGAUGAAAGCUCGGCGGAUAUUUAUUGCAGAAUUAAAUUGGGGAAAGGAGAAAGUGGGAGCAACGAGGAAUGGUUAAAAAGGGACUAAAAUGUUUUUAUAUUUCUUCUCUGGAAUUUUUAGUUCGCCGGGAGAGAGUGACAAUCAAAAGUAGAAGACGACGUAGUGUAAUAAGUUUGGUCGUGGGUGUGUCUAAUCUGAUGCUACAACACCAAUUUGCAUAUCAUAUAUACAAAAGAAAUAAAAAGAAGAAAGUUUCAAAGAGGAUGAUAAGAAAAAUGGGAAUGAGUCUAACCAAACCGCACCGACUGAUCGUAAGCUUAUUGCGUCAUUAAGAGGUAGGAACAUCGUUGUCCAUACCAACCAAUACAAAUGCAUAUACACCUUUCUAGAUUCAUAAUUUAAUAUUUGAAUAAAUUCCAUUUAGUUGUAAACUUUGAUUUUUCCCAACAAGUAAAGUAUCAAUGAAAUUGAUUGACCAUAACUACGCACGUCCAUGCCGCACGUGGUUUAUUUAAAACUUGAAAAGUUCCUCUUAAAAGAAAAACAAAACAAAAAUCUUCCUUGCUUGUAGAAACAAGCACAAUGGUUAGCCUAAUCAAAGAGAGCUAUGCUUUGUAGUUUUGUCUAUAGUCUCUCACCAUAUUAUUACAAUGAUGUGCUUGUUUACAAAGAAUAUUUGAAGAUCACAUAGUUAUGUAUAUAUAUGUAAAGAGAGAACCAAAACAAUGUAAACAAUUUAGAAACCAGAGUAAUCAGAGGAGUUGUUAUUACCCAAGAAAGU